rnacentral:rRNA from 1 species
AGAGUUUGAUCAAGGCUCAGGAUGAACGCUGGCGGCGUGCCUAAUACAUGCAAGUCGAGCGAACCACUUCGGUGGUGAGCGGCGAACGGGUGAGUAACACGUAGGUGAUCUGCCCAUCAGACGGGGACAACGAUUGGAAACGAUCGCUAAUACCGGAUAGGACGAAAGUUUAAAGGUGCUUCUGGCACCGCUGAUGGAUGAGCCUGCGGCGCAUUAGCUAGUUGGUAGGGUAAAGGCCUACCAAGGCGACGAUGCGUAGCCGACCUGAGAGGGUGAACGGCCACACUGGGACUGAGACACGGCCCAGACUCCUACGGGAGGCAGCAGUAGGGAAUCUUCGGCAAUGGGCGAAAGCCUGACCGAGCAACGCCGCGUGAAUGAUGAAGGCCUUCGGGUUGUAAAAUUCUGUUAUAAGGGAAGAACGACUUUAGUAGGAAAUGGCUAGAGUGUGACGGUACCUUAUGAGAAAGCCACGGCUAACUUACGUGCCAGCAGCCGCGGUAAUACGUAGGUGGCGAGCGUUAUCCGGAAUUAUUGGGCGUAAAGAGCGCGCAGGUGGUUGAUUAAGUCUGAUGUGAAAGCCCACGGCUUAACCGUGGAGGGUCAUUGGAAACUGGUCGACUUGAGUGCAGAAGAGGGAAGUGGAAUUCCAUGUGUAGCGGUGAAAUGCGUAGAGAUAUGGAGGAACACCAGUGGCGAAGGCGGCUUCCUGGUCUGUAACUGACACUGAGGCGCGAAAGCGUGGGGAGCAAAUAGGAUUAGAUACCCUGGUAGUCCACGCCGUAAACGAUGAGUGCUAAGUGUUGGGGGUCGAACCUCAGUGCU